rnacentral:lncRNA from 1 species
GCUGGCGGAGCGGCUGGGCGGCGGGCCGGGCCCGGGGCCGCUUGGAAUGGCGCCUCCUCCGCCUUCGCCCCAACUGCUUCUCCUGGCAGCCCUCGCGAGGCUCCUGGGUCCCAGCGAGGUAAGGUGACCCGCUCCUGGGAAGGCCUCGGCCCGCGAGCUCAAAGCGCUUUGCCAAAAGUUCGUCCUGGAAGGAGUGGCGCGCCGAGGGGGACGCGGAGUUCUUCCGCUGGCGGGCUGGGCCUGGGGAGAGAGAGGGCAGGGCCUCGCCGCGUCCAGCGCCCCAACUCUUCGCUUUGGACCCACAGGUGAUGGCUGGACCGGCGGAGGAGGCGGGAGCCCAUUGUCCCGAGAGCCUGUGGCCUCUGCCUCCGCAGGUGUCACCAAGAGUGACCUACACACGAGUGAGCCCAGGGCAGGCAGAGGCAGGGUUCUAGUUCUCUGCCCCACCUCCAAGCCCAGGACAGAUCAGCCCCAGGACAGAUGGCUCAAAGACAGUGAGCCAUAGGCCUGUCAUCUGCAAUGCUGUGUCAGGAUGCUGUUGGGUAGCUGGCUCUGUGGACAAGUGGCUGUGAGUGGAACUCUCUCUGAGAGUAGCUGGAAAAAACCCAGGCUCCAGCUCCCUGAGGAGACAGCGGGAAGUCUCCUGACUUUGUGGGCCCCAGCUUUCUGUAGGAGAGGGUAUUAAUUCUGUCUCUACCUGUGAGCAGCGAGGGAGGGUAUGUGCCAGCACCGUGUACAGUACAGAGCUGCAUCGUGCAAGGAGUGUGCCUCCAGUUGCCAGGCUCCACACUGCGGGCUCAGCUUGCGUGGUAGCAUCUCCAUCUUCAUCGCCAGCUCCUCUGAAUUUUCCUUUGAAAUACUUAUUAUUAUUAUUAUUUGAAAUGGAAUCUCACUCUGUUGCCCAG